rnacentral:rRNA from 1 species
UGCAAGUCGUGCGAGAAGCCUCUUCGGAGGGUGGAAGGGCGAAAGGAGAGUACGCGUGGAUACAACCCCCAGGAACGGGAUAGCCGCGGGAAACCGCGGGUAAUACCGGAUAAUGUCUCCGGACCAAAGGUGUGAUUCCGCCUGGGGACGGGUCCGCGUCCUAUUAGCUUGUUGGUGAGGUAACGGCUCACCAAGGCGACGAUGGGUACCGGGUGUGAGAGCAUGACCCGGCUCACUGGGACUGAGACACUGCCCAGACACCUACGGGUGGCUGCAGUCGAGAAUCUUCGGCAAUGGACGCAAGUCCGACCGAGCGACGCCGCGUGCGGGAUGAAGGCCUUCGGGUUGUAAACCGCUGUCAGAGGGGAGGAAAUCCUGUGGGGUUCUCUCCACAGGUUGACCUAUCCUCAGAGGAAGUACGGGCUAAGUUCGUGCCAGCAGCCGCGGUAAGACGAACCGUACAAACGUUAUUCGGAAUCACUGGGCUUAAAGGGUGCGUAAGCGGCCCUGCCAGUUGGGUGUGAAAGCCCUCGGGUCAACCGAGGAAUUGCGCCCAAAACUGCGGGGCUUGAGGGAGACCGAGGUGAGCGGAACUUAAGGUGGACCGGGUGAAAUGCGUGGAUAUCCUGAGGAACCACAUGUACCGAAACCGGCUCCACUGGGGUCUCUUCGGACCCUGAGGCACGAAAGUUAGGGGACCGAACGGGAUUAGAUACCCCCGGUAGUCCUAGCUGUAAACGUUGAGCACUUGGUCGGAGAGUCAUCCAUAGCUUUCCGGUCGCAAGGGAAAGUGAUAAGUGCUUCCGCCUGGGGAGUAUGUUCGCAAGCCUGAAACUCAAAGGAAUUGACGGGGGCUCACACCAAGCGGUGGAGGAUGUGGCUUAAUUCGAGGCUACGCGUAGAACCUUAUCCUGGGCUUGACAUGCACGGAUUAACCUCGUGAAAGCGAGGCGACGCCUUCGGGUGGAACGUGCACAGUUGCUGCAUGGCUGUCGUCAGCUCGUGUCGUGAGAUGUCGGGUUAAGUCCCUUAACGAGCGAAACCCUUGUCACUAGUUGCCAGCGGGUAAUGCCGGGGACUCUAGUGAGACUGCCGGUGUUAAACCGGAGGAAGGUGGGGAUGACGUCAAGUCAUCAUGGCAUUUAUGUCCAGGGCUGCACACGUCCUACAAUGGCGCGUACAAAGGGAAGCGAACUCGCGAGAGCAAGCAAAUCCCACAAAGCGCGCCCCAGUUCGGAUUGCAGGCUGCAACUCGCAUGCAUGAAGCCGGAAUCGCUAGUAAUCGCAGGUCAGCAUACUGCGGUGAAUAUGUUCCUGAGCAUUGUACACACCGCCCGUCAAGCCACGAAAGUGGGGAGCAUCCGAAGUCGC